rnacentral:rRNA from 1 species
UACGAAGGGGGCUAGCGUUGUUCGGAAUCACUGGGCGUAAAGGGCGCGUAGGCGGCGGUUCAAGUCGGGGGUGAAAGCCUGUGGCUCAACCACAGAAUGGCCUUCGAUACUGGACGGCUCGAGACCGGAAGAGGUCAGUGGAACUGCGAGUGUAGAGGUGAAAUUCGUAGAUAUUCGCAAGAACACCAGUGGCGAAGGCGGCUGACUGGUCCGGUUCUGACGCUGAGGCGCGAAAGCGUGGGGAGCAAACAGG